rnacentral:rRNA from 1 species
UACGUAGGUGGCAAGCGUUGUCCGGAUUUACUGGGCGUAAAGAGCGCGCAGGCGGCUGGUCAAGUCCGAUGUGAAAUCUCCCGGCUUAACUGGGAAACUGCAUCGGAAACUGAUCGGCUUGAAGGUGGGAGAGGGCAGUGGAAUUCCCGGUGUAGUGGUGAAAUGCGCAGAUAUCAGGAGGAACACCUAUGGCGAAGGCAGCUCGCUGGGACGGUACUGACGCUGAGGCGCGAAAGCGUGGGGAGCAAACAGG